UGGCAACAGCCGCACAAAUUUAGGGAGCGAAACCAGGUUGUGUCUUAAUUGAUGAUGCGAUGUGAUGAGAUGAGCUUCGCACUGUCAGCUCCCUCUUCGUUUGCCAGCUCCAGAUGGUAAGGAGGAUUUCUCAAUUUAACCAGUUUCAUUUGGGUUCUUCUCUUUCGACGUGUUCCAUCCACUACCCUAUGAUGGUCAUUGUGUUAUGCAAUUGAUUUGAUGGUCUUAUUUCCUUCCUAUCGAUCUCAUAAUUGCACGGUACAGCAAUACAGUCGACUUUGAUACCUUGAUCAGCAAGCUACUUGCUCCACCCAUCGGCAAACAUGUGGAAGGCAAAUGGGGAGUGUGAAGUUGCCUCUGCAACAAAUAUUUAUCUUUGGCCUUGUCCGACUACUUGACAGGUUUCCAAGAUCAUAUUACACUGGUCAUAUCAAACUCAGUGUACUUCGUUCUCGAACAUAGCAGAAAUGGUCAAUAUGAGAUGCUCUAGCAGAAAUGUCAUUGAUUCGCAAUUGCUCUUGUCCAGGCUUUCAUAUGAUCUCUGUGUGCUUUAUUAUUUAAUACUCCGUUUGUUCAACUGUGUCUUAGAAGAACGGUGGUGUGGUAGCAGCUCUUAUGACUUGUAACAGGAAGUUCAAUUGCGCAUCCGCGCGUACUCCAUCGUCACGUUGGCGCUCUGAUAACAACAUUCACUUGUUGUGGUCUGCUUGCCGUCUUCAAUCUUCAUUUUAACAACCAGGGCAGUAUCAGCACCUACAGCCUGACUUUGGCGUCGGCAACAAGUUUUGAAUCUUUUGAGUAAUUAGUUUGGCAGGAAGACCGGUUAGGUAAAAGAGAGGCUGGUUUUCUUGCAAACGAUCGCACUAAAGUCUUUCCAAUAUAGAAACUAUUUUUUAUACACUGCUAACAUGUAUGUACUUAAGAAGUAGGAACAACAUCCUGUUAGUUCACCAGCAACCAGUAUUAGCCCUCCCUCCCUCAAUGAAGUUAAAAAAGCUCAUCUGAAGCAUUUAACUAAUAUUCAAACAAUGUCAUAGUAAAUUUAAAUAGACUCAAAUCAUAUAUUCAACUCAUCAAUAUAUUGACGCAAUCAUUUUAACUCUGAUAUGCAUCGACCAGUUGUUCUAACAAAGCACGCUGCUGUUUAUUAAUAAGUAGCAGCAAAAUGUAUACUUUCAUUAUUUCCAAAUUCCUAAAUAGUUUAUAAAAUUUCUUUUUCUAAGUACAUCAAAUUGACCAAAAGUUCUGUUUAAACUUUCAACAAUUGAAAAAUUUAUGCAAAAAUUUAAGAUGCUGCAGAAAGUUGAAGAAAAAUUAAUAUUCUUAAAAUUAUACAUAACAUAUAAUUUAUUACGUACCGGUCGACACGAGAUAACUAUUAGCACCACACGGUCUGGAACUUUGAGCUCCAACUUGAGUGGUGUUCAUCGUUAUCACGGGAAGCUUAGCUACAGGUUGGAUCCACAGAUUGCGGAUAGUGGAAAGCUUCGAAUUUAUGAGGAGUAGCUGCAAAUGCGGCGGCAGGCAGUCAGCGAUUCGAGAGGAGGGUCUCAGUAAGGGGUCUGGUUGCAUUGACUCUUACUUAAAUAAUGUGUGGCAAUAAUACUCGAAAUGACAAGGCGGGUUAUUGGCGCCUUCAAAUAACCAAUGGCUAACAUCAGCGUCUGUUCCCAGGUUAGGCCCAAUCGCAUGGAGUUAAGCCAUGCGAUUGGAGCGUUGAGUCCCUUAACAUCGACGACCCACGCCAAAGAAAAAGGACCAUGAUCUGCGGAUCUUCACUAGGAAUGUCCGGACUCUUCAUACAGAAGGUGCAGUAUACACACUGGCGGAUGUAUUAGAGAAGUGACGUGAGAAGUACAAGGCAGAUAUUAACGCCUGAUAGAAAGUGCGAUGGACCGGGCGUCAUGGCGUCAUAACAUCACCAAACUGUGACGAACUAUACUAUAGCUGCCAUGACACGAGGCUGAAUUUGGCUGUGGAUAUAUGGUAACUCGGGCAGUGAAAACCUCGGCCUCAUUUGUACCCAUGCCCCAAGACAAGGACAAACAGACCUAGGACGUUUUCCACUAGCGCCCAGAGAGAGAAUACGACCGCUGCCCCGCACAUGAUAUUAAAAUCGUUCUGGAAGAUUUUAAUGAAAAGAUAGAGGAGGAAAAUAUAAUUGGUCGAACAAUCGGGAAGUUUCGCCUCCACGAAAUAACGUCCGAUAAUGGGUUGAGACUUAUAUAUUCGGCGGAAAAGAUCAUGGUAGUUAGUAGCGCCAGAUUUUAGCAUAAAUAAUUUAGAAAGCUACAUGGUUGACCCUAGCAGUGUGUUGUGUUCUAUCUUUCGUCUGCUUGUUUCUGUUGAAUAUCCAGAUCCAGGAACUCUGCGACUAAGGUGGGUUGCAUCCAAAAGGAUCUGGGUUUGAGACGAGUGGAUCUGGCUGUGGCGUGUGGUCCAUACAACAGAAGAGUUAUAAGAGAAACCAUCGUGCCAAAUUUUGUGAAGAUCGGUUAACAAAUUACUAAAUUAUUGAGUAUUAUUCAAAAUGGGACAAAAAUAUACAUGGAAGCUAUAUCUAAA